CUAAGAAUCUUCCGCAAUGGGCGAAAGCCUGACGGAGCGAUGCCGCGUGGAGGACGAAGGCCGAGAGGUUGUAAACUCCUUUUCUGCGUGAGGAAUAAUCGCCGGAGGCAAUGCCGGCGAGAUGACGGUAGCGCAGGAAUAAGCCCCGGCCAAUUACGUGCCAGCAGCCGCGGUAAUACGUAUGGGGCGAGCGUUGUUCGGAAUCAUUGGGCGUAAAGGGCGCGCAGGCGGCUGUGCAAGCCUGGUGUGAAAGACCACAGCUCAACUGUGGGAGCGCGCUGGGAACUGUGCAGCUUGAGUUCCGGAGGGGAAGCUGGAAUUCCUGGUGUAGGGGUGAAAUCUGUAGAUAUCAGGAAGAACACCGGCGGCGAAGGCGAGCUUCUGGCCGUGAACUGACGCUGAGGCGCGAAAGCGUGGGGAGCAAACA
rnacentral:rRNA from 1 species